CUCAGAAACUCAAAGGAUUAGACGGGGCCGCACAAGGCGGUGGAGCAUGUGGUUUAAUUCGAUGAUACGCGAGGAACCUUACCUGGGCUCAAAUGUAUGUUGACGUAUUCUGAAAGGGAUACUUCUUCGGACAAUAUACAAGGUGCUGCAUGGUUGUCGUCAGCUCGUGCCGUGAGGUGUCGGGUUAAGUCCCAUAACGAGCGCAACCCCUAUCAUUAGUUGCCAUCAGGUCAAGCUGGGGACUCUAAUGAAACUGCCUACGCAAGUAGUGAGGAAGGUGGGGAUGACGUCAAGUCCUCAUGGCCUUUAUGACCAGGGCUACACACGUACUACAAUGGCCGAUACAAAGGGCAGCGACACUGCGAGGUGAAGCCAAUCCCGUAAAAUCGGUCUCAGUCCGGAUUGGAGUCUGCAACUCGACUCCAUGAAGUUGGAAUCGCUAGUAAUCGCAGAUCAGCCAAGCUGCGGUGAAUACGUUCCCGGGCCUU
rnacentral:rRNA from 1 species